rnacentral:rRNA from 1 species
WGUAGGUGAACUGCGGAAGGAUCAUUA